rnacentral:lncRNA from 1 species
GACUAGCAAACAACCUUAACCUGGAGGACCAACAGCAAGCUUCCAGUGCUUUCUGUGCAUGGAGAUGAGAUGACUAGACAGCUGCAGAUCAAAAGAAUCCCCAAGCUGCCCGGCUGUCGAACAGAGAGAGAGAUGUUGGGAUGGAAGGUGUGAAGGCUGUGAGGAUGAUGUGGGGUGAUCUGUGAUGUGAGAGCUAAGUGCCUAACAGCAAGCCCAGCCUGGUGCUGGCAGCGACUACACCCACCUUGGAUGGAAGUGCUCGAUUUGAGCGGUGGAGGGUUCAAUGACCUGUUCGGAUAAAGCAUUCACUAAGAAGAAAUGACUGAAGCCAUCAACGGUCAGUAGCUGCUUGGUUAGAGGCCAGCACUUCUGGACCUCUGGCUGCGGCCUGGGGCAUAGAAGAAAGUCAUAUGCUGAUUAUCAUGACAAAUUUUACAGAUUUGAAACUCCAACCUAUUUUAUCUAUUCUGGAAGGAUGUUUUCACCGUAGCCUCGAAGUUGGGGAAAUCAUACUCGGUGUUGUUUCUUUCCAGGUGUCUUUUUGAAAUCUUAUUUUAUUUUUAAAAAGUGUGCAUCCUACAUUUAGAGGAUCUUGCUUCAGCUCCUGUCAAGGAGGCUUGUUAGGAAGUGAGUAAAUUGAAUAAACAUGCAACUGCACUAAGUGUGUGUUAGCUAAUUUGCAUGUCUGUGUGGGUCCGAGUGUGGUGCUUGUAGGAAAACAGCUGUCUGCUCUCUGUUCACGUAAGUAUGAAGAUGAGGCGCUUGGAAAGGUGAAUCUCCAUUAGAAAGAGCAAACCAGGGCUGGAAGGUGUUUGAACAUCAGCCUAGGACUGUGCCAGGCACACAGCAUUGACAUCAACACAGAAAGAGAAUCUGCUUAGUAAGUUCAUUAGAUAAAGGGGGAGGGGUGCACAAAAUAGGGGGCAUGGUACCUUUGUGUUUUGUUUUUCAAUUUCAUAGACAAUUAUUUUAUUCUAGAAAGGUCACAAAUUUCUAAAACUAAAUACAAGCUUAUUGACAAGAAAAUGAACUCCGCAAGUCAAUUAGCUCCAGCCUCUGCUGUAAUGGUAAUAAAUAUUUGCACUGUGUACAAUGUAAACUAUAACACAAAGGAUGUCCUAAAUAUUGAGGACAGCACAAAUGACUUAGUCCUCUGUGUCAUUCUAUCCAAGCCCCAUAGCUUAUAUGAGUUUCCAAAGCCAGAUCUGAUGGACUGGAGAGAUGUCUCAGCCACUAAGAGAGGUGGCUGCCCUAGCAGGAGAUCAGAGAUAGCUGUUUUCAGUACCCAUGUUGGACAUCUUAGAACCAUCUCUAAAUUCAGCCCUAGGUGAUCCAAUGUCUUCUUGCCGAUCUCCAAGGGCACCUGUACUCAAGUGCACAAACCUACAUUUUUUUAAAUAUGUAUAUUAAAAUAUAAUAAAAAUAAUCUUAAAAA